GACGAACGCUGGCGGCGUGCUUAACACAUGCAAGUCGAACGGUAAGGCCCUUCGGGGUACACGAGUGGCGAACGGGUGAGUAACACGUGGGUGAUCUGCCCUGCACUUCGGGAUAAGCCUGGGAAACUGGGUCUAAUACCGGAUAGGACUCCUGGCUUCAUGGUUGGGGGUGGAAAGCUUUUGCGGUGUGGGAUGGGCCCGCGGCCUAUCAGCUUGUUGGUGGGGUAAUGGCCCACCAAGGCGACGACGGGGAGCCGGCCUGAGAGGGUGACCGGUCACACUGGGACUGAGAUACGGCCCAGACUCCUACGGGAGGCAGCAGUGGGGAAUAUUGCACAAUGGGCGCAAGCCUGAUGCAGCGACGCCGCGUGAGGGAUGACGGCCUUCGGGUUGUAAACCUCUUUCAGCUAUGACGAAGCGCAAGUGACGGUAGUAGCAGAAGAAGGACCGGCCAACUACGUGCCAGCAGCCGCGGUAA
rnacentral:rRNA from 1 species